UGGGGAAUUUUGGACAAUGGGCGAAAGCCUGAUCCAGCAAUGCCGCGUGUGUGAAGAAGGCCUUCGGGUUGUAAAGCACUUUUGUCCGGAAAGAAAUCCUUGGCUCUAAUACAGUCGGGGGAUGACGGUACCGGAAGAAUAAGCACCGGCUAACUACGUGCCAGCAGCCGCGGUAAUACGUAGGGUGCAAGCGUUAAUCGGAAUUACUGGGCGUAAAGCGUGCGCAGGCGGUUUGCUAAGACCGAUGUGAAAUCCCCGGGCUCAACCUGGGAACUGCAUUGGUGACUGGCAGGCUAGAGUAUGGCAGAGGGGGGUAGAAUUCCACGUGUAGCAGUGAAAUGCGUAGAGAUGUGGAAGAAUACCGAUGGCGAAGGCAGCCCCCUGGGCCAAUACUGACGCUCAUGCACGAAAGCGUGGGGAGCAAACAGGAUUAGAUACCCUGGUAGUCCACGCCCUAAACGAUGUCAACUAGUUGUUGGGGAUUCAUUUCCUUAGUAACGUAGCUAACGCGUGAAGUUGACCGCCUGGGGAGUACGGUCGCAAGAUUAAAACUCAAAGGAAUUGACGGGGUCAUAGCUGUUUCCU
rnacentral:rRNA from 1 species